CACACACACACACACACGCACGCACGCACCCGGGUCGUUUCGCUGAGGGAACAACCGAGAACCCAGGAAAAGCCAAAGAAACACUGGAGAACCAGGAGGGAGGGGGACUUAAGACACACAGGGCCGUCGAGUCUACGCGGAAUUGGGUAAUUCCAGGACGGAGGGGGGUGACAGGCUGAACGAGAACUUGAGAUCCUUUGUCUCGGCCUCCCAGAAUGCUGGAAUUACAGCCAUGUGACACCGUACUUAGUCGGUAAAGGUUUUAGCAUGAAGCUCAAUAGGUCACGUGGGCUUCACUUCCUUUCCUUCCACAUCAUUUGGUGGUACCAGUACGUGGAAUGGGUAAUUUCAAAUCUGUAUCAACUUCUGCUAAAACAGUGAAUAUCAGCAAAAUCACUCCAAAGAGACUCGAGAAUUUUCAAGAAAACAGAAGUUGAAGAAGAUGGCCAGUUGAGAGCUUUAAUGACAAAAUUGUACAGAGCAGCUGCUACAUUUGAAUAACAAGUAAUUCACUGCACACAUUAAAACAGAAAUGGUAAACUACAACAAGCACUGUAUGAAAAUUGACAGGAACAUUUUUAGAAAAUUUCAAACAAACUUGACUUUCAGUAUAAUUGCACCUAAAGUAUUUAUAAACAGCUCAUCAGAGCUCCUAUUUGCUUUCGACAUUUAAGUUCAUUGUUGGAACUGCAUAAUAUCAUUUUUUUGAAACUGUUGUAA